UAUACAAUUAACAAUAAAUUACACGACAGGCUAACCUGCCAACUUUUCCAUCUCCCCUUUCAGAUGGGGAAAAUGUGAUAAUUUUUGCUGCAAAUUCCACAAGUCGUAUUCCUUUAUUUAAAUUUUCUUCUACGUUUUCUUUCUCAUAAAGCUAUGUACCUGAGAAAUGUUUCCUAUUCCUACCCCUCCUUUCUGUUUCUGUGCCCAAUUUG
rnacentral:misc_RNA from 1 species